rnacentral:rRNA from 1 species
GAUGAACGCUGGCGGCGUGCCUAAUACAUGCAAGUCGAGCGAACGGACGAGAAGCUUGCUUCUCUGAUGUUAGCGGCGGACGGGUGAGUAACACGUGGAUAACCUACCUAUAAGACUGGGAUAACUUCGGGAAACCGGAGCUAAUACCGGAUAAUAUUUUGAACCGCAUGGUUCAAAAGUGAAAGACGGUCUUGCUGCCACUUAUAGAUGGAUCCGCGCUGCAUUAGCUAGUUGGUAAGGUAACGGCUUACCAAGGCAACGAUGCAUAGCCGACCUGAGAGGGUGAUCGGCCACACUGGAACUGAGACACGGUCCAGACUCCUACGGGAGGCAGCAGUAGGGAAUCUUCCGCAAUGGGCGAAAGCCUGACGGAGCAACGCCGCGUGAGUGAUGAAGGUCUUCGGAUCGUAAAACUCUGUUAUUAGGGAAAAACAUAUGUGUAAGUAACUGUGCACAUCUUGACGGUACCUAAUCAGAAAGCCACGGCUAACUACGUG